rnacentral:rRNA from 1 species
UGGGGAAUAUUGGACAAUGGGCGAAAGCCUGAUCCAGCCAUGCCGCGUGUGUGAAGAAGGCCUUAUGGUUGUAAAGCACUUUAAGUGGGGAGGAAAAGCUUAUGGUUAAUACCCAUAAGCCCUGACGUUACCCACAGAAUAAGCACCGGCUAACUCUGUGCCAGCAGCCGCGGUAAUACAGAGGGUGCAAGCGUUAAUCGGAAUUACUGGGCGUAAAGCGCGCGUAGGUGGUUAUUUAAGUCAGAUGUGAAAGCCCCGGGCUUAACUUGGGAACUGCAUCUGAUACUGGAUAACUAGAGUAGGUGAGAGGGGAGUAGAAUUCCAGGUGUAGCGGUGAAAUGCGUAGAGAUCUGGAGGAAUACCGAUGGCGAAGGCAGCUCCCUGGCAUCAUACUGACACUGAGGUGCGAAAGCGUGGGUAGCAAACAGGAUUAGAUACCCUGGUAGUCCACGCCGUAAACGAUGUCUACCAGUCGUUGGGUCUUUUAAAGACUUAGUGACGCAGUUAACGCAAUAAGUAGACCGCCUGGGGAGUACGGCCGCAAGGUUA